CAGAAAGGCAUAGACAUGCUACGGUGUGUAUCACAUUACAGAACAGAAGGUGGCAUCCUCAUCCAUCCAUAAUAUUGGGGCUUACCAAGGUAUUGUCCGCUUGUGUUCUUCCAUUUAUGUCUGAAAUAUGAUGAUGAACUUGAAGCUGUUACCCUUAUCUGAAAGACUGUAGGUGCUUGUGUAGACACACCAUGCUUUUGUUCUGGUCAUUUUUGUGCAUAAUACACUCGUGCGAAGUGUAUGGCUCCUGGGAUUGUACCAACACACCUUGCUGAUUUCAUUACAAGCAAUAAGACGAUUAGGAAGAUUGAGGAUCAGGCCUUGCUCAACAGGCUUGGUACCACGGACGACAUGGUCUCUGCAGUUGCCCUUUCGGCAUCCGAUGAUGCUUCUUACAUAACAAGAGAAACUUUGGUGGUUGCCGGAGGGAUGCCGUCCAGACUAAGUUCCCUAUCUUAAAGUUUUACUCUCGUAAGAAACAUAUUUUAGUUUUUCAGUGCCAGCUUAAACCUGAUAGAUAAGAAAAUUUUACGAUGAUGCUCAAACUCACAGGGUAAUUGCCCCUUGAAUAUAAUAUACGCGCCUCUACGCUACAGAGCCAA